UACGAAGGGGGCUAGCGUUGCUCGGAAUCACUGGGGCGUAAAGGGUGCGUAGGCGGGUCUUAAGUCAGGGGUGAAAUCCUGGAGCUCAACUCCAGAACUGCCUUUGAUACUGAGGAUCUUGAGUUCGGGGAGAGGUGAGUGGAACUGCGAGUGUAGAGGUGAAAUUCGUAGAUAUUCGCAAGAACACCAGUGGCGAAGGCGGCUCACUGGCCCGAUACUGACGCUGAGGCACGAAAGCGUGGGGAGCGAACAGG
rnacentral:rRNA from 1 species